rnacentral:rRNA from 1 species
AUCCAGCUUGCUGGAUAUGAAAGUGGCGCACGGGUGCGUAACGCGUAUGCAACCUACCUUAAUCAGGGGGAUAGCCCGGAGAAAUCCGGAUUAACACCGCAUAAAAACACAGGAUAGCAUUAUCCAAUGUUCAAAUAUUUAUAGGAUUAAGAUGGGCAUGCGUGUCAUUAGCUAGUUGGCGGGGUAACGGCCCACCAAGGCGACGAUGACUAGGGGAUCUGAGAGGAUGGCCCCCCACACUGGUACUGAGACACGGACCAGACUCCUACGGAGGCAGCAGUAAGGAAUAUUGGUCAAUGGGGGCAACCCUGAACCAGCCAUGCCGCGUGCAGGAAGACUGCCCUAUGGGUUGUAAACUGCUUUUAUCCGGGAAUAAACCUUUCUACGUGUAGGAAGCUGAAUGUACCGGAAGAAUAAGGAUCGGCUAACUCCGUGCCAGCAGCCGCGGUAAUACGGAGGAUCCAAGCGUUAUCCGGAUUUAUUGGGUUUAAAGGGUGCGUAGGCGGCCUGUUAAGUCAGGGGUGAAAGACGGUAGCUCAACUAUCGCAGUGCCCUUGAUACUGAUGGGCUUGAAUAAACUAGAGGUAGGCGGAAUGAGACAAGUAGCGGUGAAAUGCAUAGAUAUGUCUCAGAACACCGAUUGCGAAGGCAGCUUACUAUGGUUUAAUUGACGCUGAGGCACGAAAGCGUGGGGAUCAAACAGGAUUAGAUACCCUGGUAGUCCACGCCCUAAACGAUGAACACUCGCUGUUGGCGAUACACAGUCAGCGGCUAAGCGAAAGCGUUAAGUGUUCCACCUGGGGAGUACGCCCGCAAGGGUGAAACUCAAAGGAAUUGACGGGGGCCCGCACAAGCGGAGGAGCAUGUGGUUUAAUUCGAUGAUACGCGAGGAACCUUACCCGGGCUUGAAAGUUAGUGAAUCAUUUAGAGAUAGAUGAGUGAGCAAUCACACGAAACUAGGUGCUGCAUGGCUGUCGUCAGCUCGUGCCGUGAGGUGUUGGGUUAAGUCCCGCAACGAGCGCAACCCCUAUGUUUAGUUGCCAGCACGUAAUGGUGGGGACUCUAAACAGACUGCCUGUGCAAACAGAGAGGAAGGAGGGGACGACGUCAAGUCAUCAUGGCCCUUACGUCCGGGGCUACACACGUGCUACAAUGGAUGGUACAGAGGGCAGCUACAUAGCAAUAUGAUGCGAAUCUCACAAAGCCAUUCACAGUUCGGAUUGGGGUCUGCAACUCGACCCCAUGAAGUUGGAUUCGCUAGUAAUCGCGUAUCAGCAAUGACGCGGUGAAUACGUUCCCGGGCCUUGUACACACCGCCCGUCAAGCCAUGGAAGCUGGGGGUACCUAAAGUAUGAACCGCAAG